rnacentral:lncRNA from 1 species
AGACACUGAGGAUCAGGCAGAGAGAGAGGCUCCUGCCAGGCUGAGCUGUGCUCUGAGGAACAUUUCGGGAGCCUCCAGAACUGAAGAGGGGGCCAACUCUCUGGAGAAAAAUGAAUGGAUGUAGGCCCAAAGGAGCCGAAUGUUUUCCUUGGCUGAAUGGCAAGCAAGCACCAAGUGUCCACAGUUUCCGGAGUGUGGAUAUGAACAGCCGUCUUGGGUCCUGAGGUGGAAGCCAUGUGUGGAAGAUGGAGGGCAUCGGUUAGAAGGAGUCUAGUCCCUGAUGGUCACUGAGCUGCAGAACCAGCCUGGGCUGCUUCCUGCUGGAUGUCACUUACUAGAGAGCGAAAUUAAAUGUGCUUCAGCUACUGUUACUUUGGGUUUUCUGUCAUUUGUAGCUGAAAUAAUCCUAAUCAAUAUGAGAUAUAUUAAGUAAACAAAAAUGCAAAUGAAAACGAUUAUGAAUUGUAUGAUUCCAAUUUUAUCUUCUUUUAUGUGAUUUAAGUCUUUAACUUUUAACCCAGAUGAUUUUAUUUUAAAAUGUGUGUUUAUAUACAUCCAUAUGUACAUAGAAAAAAGACAGGAAUGUUGAAAGCUAAAGUAUUAGUAGAGAUUAUUUCAGGAUGGUAGGUUAUAAGGAUUUCAUGUGCUUAUUUAUUUACCUUUUGUUUGUUCAUCUGUAUUUGCUAAUUUUUCUAUUUUUUUAUUUUUAUUUUUUGAGACAGGAUCUCACUUUGUCACUCAGGCUGGAGUACAGUGGCACAAUCAUGGCUCACCACAGCCUUGACCUCCUGGGCUCAGGUGAUCCUCCCACCUCAGCCUCCUGAAUAGCUAGGACUUGGUACCUGCCACCACGCCUGGAUAAUUUUUGUAUUUCUUGUUGAGACAGGGUUUCGUCAUGUUGUCCAGGCUGAUCUCGAACUCCUGCGCUCAAACAAUCCACUGCCUCAGUCUCCCAAAGUGCUAGGAUUACAGGCGUGGACCACCAUGCCCGGCCUCUAAUUUUUCUUCAACAAAACUGUAUUACUUUUUAAAUAAGAAAAAAUAAUAAAAGGUAUAAAGUGUAUGACUUAAUGAGAUCCAUAUGUAUUGCAGUAAUAAAAAAAACCUGAAGCCAAGGCGGGUGGAUCAUUUGAGGUCAGGAGUUCGAGACCAGCCUGGACAACAUGGUGAAACCUCGUUUCUACUAAAAAUACAAAAAUUAGCCAGGAGUGGUGGUAUGUGCCCGUGAUCCCAGAUACCUGGGAGGCUGAGGCAGGAGAAUUGCUUGAAACCAGGAGGUGGAGGUUACAGUGAGCCAAGAAUCCACCACUGCACUCCAGCCUGGGCGACAGAGCGAGACUGUGUCUCAAAAACAAAAAAACAAAACAAAACAAAAAAAACCUUAUUCUCAGAAUGAAGAUCUGAAAUAAGAAACAAACAAACAAACAAAAAAUAUUUUAAAAAGGAAAUAGAAAACAAAUAACUUAUUCAUGAUUCCAUGGGAAAAAAGACUGAAAAUAAGUGUUCUAAAGUAAAUAAGGGCAUGAGAAAUUGUUCAAAAUAUAGUGUUAAAGAGAAAAAAGGUUAUUCAACAAUAUGAUGCCAUUGUUUUUGAUAAAAAGAAUUAAACAACAUAAAUGUAUGCUAGAAAAAGAACUAGAAGGAAAUAAGCUGAUAUAUUGGUGGUCUGGUUCCAGAGGAGAGAUUUUAGUGAUUCUUAUUUUCCCCUUUAUACUUUUGGUAUUUUCUAAAUAUUUCUCUAAUAAACCUGUGCUAAUCUUAUUUAUUUCAAAAUGUUUCUACUUAGAGAAAUUUUAACAAGACAGAAAAGCAUGUUAUAAAGAAUAAUAAAAACACACACACAUCGCCACUGCUCAAAA